rnacentral:rRNA from 1 species
CGGAGGAAAAGAAACCAACAGGGAUUGCCUCAGUAACGGCGAGUGAAGCGGCAACAGCUCAAAUUUGAAAUCUGGCCGCAAGGUCCGAGUUGUAAUUUGUAGAGGAUGCUUUUGGCGAGGUGCCUUCCGAGUUCCCUGGAACGGGACGCCAUAGAGGGUGAGAGCCCCGUACGGUAGGACCACCAAGCCUCUGUAAAGCUCCUUCGACGAGUCGAGUAGUUUGGGAAUGCUGCUCUAAAUGGGAGGUGUACGUCUUCUAAAGCUAAAUACCGGCCAGAGACCGAUAGCGCACAAGUAGAGUGAUCGAAAGAUGAAAAGCACUUUGAAAAGAGGGUUAAAAAGUACGUGAAAUUGUUGAAAGGGAAGCAUUCAUGACCAGACUUGGGCUUGGUUGAACAUCCGGCGUUCUCGCCGGUGCACUCUGCCAGCCCAGGCCAGCAUCAGUUUGCCCCGGGGGAUAAAGGCGGCGGGAAUGUGGCUCCUCUCGGGGAGUGUUAUAGCCCGCCGUGCAAUGCCCUGGGGCGGACUGAGGAACGCGC